rnacentral:rRNA from 1 species
GACGAACGCUGGCGGCGUGCCUAAUACAUGCAAGUCGAGCGAAUCUUCUGGAACUUGUUCCGGAAGGUUAGCGGCGGACGGGUGAGUAACACGUGGGCAACCUGCCUGUAAGACUGGGAUAACACCGGGAAACCGGUGCUAAUACCGGAUAAUCCUUUUCCUCUCAUGAGGAACAGCUGAAAGUCGGUUUCGGCUGACACUUACAGAUGGGCCGGCGGCGCAUUAGCUAGUUGGUGAGGUAACGGCUCACCAAGGCGACGAUGCGUAGCCGACCUGAGAGGGUGAUCGGCCACACUGGGACUGAGACACGGCCCAGACUCCUACGGGAGGCAGCAGUAGGGAAUCUUCCACAAUGGACGAAAGUCUGAUGGAGCAACGCCGCGUGAGCGAUGAAGGCCUUCGGGUCGUAAAGCUCUGUUGUUAGGGAAGAACAAGUACCGGAGUAACUGCCGGUACCUUGACGGUACCUAACCAGAAAGCCACGGCUAACUACGUGCCAGCCGCCGCCGUAAAAC